rnacentral:rRNA from 1 species
CCUACGGGAGGCAGCAGUGGGGAAUAUUGGACAAUGGGGGCAACCCUGAUCCAGCCAUGCCGCGUGUGUGAAGAAGGCCCUCGGGUUGUAAAGCACUUUCAGUGAGGAAGAACGCCUGGUGGUUAAUACCCAUCAGGAAAGACAUCACUCACAGAAGAAGCACCGGCUAACUCCGUGCCAGCAGCCGCGGUAAUACGGAGGGUGCGAGCGUUAAUCGGAAUUACUGGGCGUAAAGCGCGCGUAGGUGGCUUGAUAAGCCGGUUGUGAAAGCCCCGGGCUCAACCUGGGAACGGCAUCCGGAACUGUCAAGCUAGAGUGCAGGAGAGGAAGGUAGAAUUCCCGGUGUAGCGGUGAAAUGCGUAGAGAGCGGGAGGAAUACCAGUGGCGAAGGCGGCCUUCUGGACUGACACUGACACUGAGGUGCGAAAGCGUGGGUAGCAAACAGGAUUAGAUACCCGUGUAGUC